CUCAAGGAUUAAGACCUCAGCUGCAAAACUUAUGCAGGUAGUUUAAGGAAUUAAAAUAUGGGAAACCCUCUUGUGAGAGAAGCAAAAGGAUGUUCAACAUUUCCUGUCUGCUCUGAAGCCCCACAAGUAGAAUUCCCUAGGCACAGAAAGAGACAUGAACUCUUCUGCUUCAUGACUGAUAGCACAGUGUGCCUUCUCUGCAGAUUCUGAUAAGACCCUUCUUGGAAGGAAAAGCAAAAUAAGUAUUACUUGCCUUCAUUUCCCCGUAAUGCAAUGAAUUCUGAACGUCACUGGCACGUAUAAUACUGACACCAAUUUCAUUUCCAGUGGUCAUUACUCCCUUGACUGUUACUGUAGCAAUGUUUUGGUUAGAUGAGGACCAAGAAAAAUUACCACUUCCACCAUGAGCCUAGACGGAAAGUUCAAAGAAAAGAUGCUUCUGGUUAACCUUAUUCGCUGGAAACUGAGAAAGCAUGAAAAGUGCAGAAGAAGAGUCAUGGUUGGAAGAUCUACUAUAAAUAAAGCCGUGGCCUUUGUCUCCCAACAGCAAUGUUAUUGCAAUGGUGGAUGAAACAGAGGAAGUGAAGUAUGUCGGUGCGAGUGCUGCUCUGGCUAUCUUCUCAGCAGUCAACAAAGCCCCUAACUUAUGGAACCUACCUGCCACAAACCAUAAGAAUUUUUAUUUGUUUUCCAUUUGUUAUUUUCUACCACCACAGGUUAUGUUCUGCAAUCAUACCUACUUUAAAAGGAAGGCUCCUUAAUCAUAAGAGUGUGCCAUAAAACAAAAUGCAGUUCUGGAAGCAGCAGGUGUCAAAUUGCAGCAGAAGAGUAACGAAAUUCCAUUUUCUAAUAGAAAGAGGGUUGCAGCCUCAAAAGUUAAUAACGUACAGUAGAGUCAUCAAGUACCCAAUAGCGAGGCGGACUGUUUUCUGCAUUUAGAUGGCUUUCAGCACUUACCUUUAUUGUGUACUGAUAGGCUCCAGCUUUCGGCUGCCAUGGAAACGUCAAAAUGCUUGGUGAUAGAGCAAUGGGAACAUAAAUGUCUACUUCUUGCUGAUUCUGUACAGGAACAGGUAUGAAGAAAACCUCACAGCCCUGCCCUUUCCUUGGUGCCAGCGAAGCAUAUAACUGAACACUGAAGAAACUUGCCAGGCCUCCCUCAUUCUAUGAGCAACUUCAAAAGCCUCUUGCCUCUACAGCAGCUUCAGGACCAACAGGGACCAGAUUGUUAAGAAAUCAUUGUCAACACUAUUGAAAAAAAAUGAUUAAAGGUACCCCCCCCAAACCAGAGUCCUUUCUGUUGGGGAUAAUUCAGACUGAUAUUCCCAGGUGUCAGAAAAGGUUAUCUAUGUAUGCUACCACUGCAGCCCGUGUUUUGUUAGCCCCAAAAUGGAAAAUGAGCGAUGUCCCAACUAAAGAAGAAUGGCAACUUAAAUUGACAAAAUAUGUACAACCUGCAGACUUAACAUAUAGAAUAAGAGAACAAGAAGAACAUAUGUUUAAAAAAGACUGGAAAACGUUUAUUGAAUAUAUGGGAAAUAAUUGUAUACAGCUGAAAACGCUGGCAGCAUUAAGAUAAAUCCAACAGUGUAAACAAGUUUUGAUGGAUGCAAUAAUGGAAUACUGAAUGGUAUAAUUUUUGUAAAAUAUGCAGGGAUUUAUGAUAUGUAAAAUGAACCAUGGAAAGAGAAGAAGCGAAGUCAUUGAUAUAGUAAGGAUGGAAAAUGAGUAUUUUAAAUUGUUAUAUAUAUAACAACAGUAGGAAGGACUGUUCCUUCCUACCCCAUUUGUCUUCAGUAAUCAAAAAGACACAGGAAGGGCUACAAAACUUGCAAAUUGGGGCCAGUCUAUAGGAAGUUAGCUCUACAGCUUAUCCUCAUGUUUUGGAAAUUAUUGAAGCCCAAUUGAAACAUUCCACUUAAUUGUUUGGUAAAGGUUUUACCGGACUGUCCUGCCUAGGAUGUUUGAAUGCUCCCUGUAGGAGAGGGAAAGCCCUUAACUUCAAGCAUAUAUAAAAGAGUCAGGUUAACAAAUAGAGGCAACCUAGUCUGCUCCCAAACACAUUAUUUUCUUUAGUAUACAGUGGGCUUUUUCAUCAUGGCUGAGCAACUCAUAUCUAUAGCAUGAAACAGUACAGUUCAGAAAAAGCUUUACUGCUUGAAUACACUACUUAGAAAAAAGCCCCAGUGAUCAAAAAUGUCCAACUGAGUUGCUUCAAAUUAAUGUAUUUAGGGAUAUGUAGUCAGUUUGCGAUUGUGAAGACAAUUACUUGAAAUGAAAUUCUACUGAAAUCAAUGGAACUUAUUUUCAAAUAGAUGUGCUUAUAGUUGUAAGGAGUCCUCCGUUUCUAUUAAAACAAGUUAAUUCCCACUCCCCCUUGACUUUGUUGAACUUCAAUGUAUCAUAUUUGCUCUUAAGAUACCCUUCAGGUUCAAGGCUUCAGCUUUAAACAAAUGCAAGACAAAAUGUUCCUCUUUCAACAGACAUACCUGAUC